AUGAAUGUGGUGUCGAGUUUA
rnacentral:piRNA from 1 species